rnacentral:rRNA from 1 species
ACAAUGAAGAGUUUGAUCCUGGCUCAGGCUGAACGCUAGCGGCAGGCUUAACACAUGCAAGUCGAGGGGCAGCGCGGGGUAGCAAUACUCUGGCGGCGACCGGCGAAAGGGUGAGUAACGCGUGAGCAACGUGCCCGUAUGUGGGGGAUAGUCAUUGGAAACGAUGCGUAAUACCCCGUAACACAUUUC